GUCGCCCCCAGCGCGUGCCCGCCCGGCGCCCUCUAGGGUGGAAGGCUGCGGGCGUCCUACCAGUGCCAGGACUGCCAGAGCGGGAGGAGCGCGGCGCGGGCCAGCCGGGACUGCUGGACAGCGGGGUCCAGGCUAGAGGCGAGCGAGCGGUCAGUGACGGCUGUGGAGGAGGGAGGCGCUGGGCGUCAGCGCGGGACCCGAGCCUCUGGACCACUGAGCUGGGGGGCUGGCUGAGGUCCACCUCCUAACAAAUUAUUGGAAGGAAUAUGAGAAAACCACCAGUGGGGCUUCUCUGCUGUAAAGGAGAUAAAGGACAUGGAAAGGAAUGGCUUUGGAGUCCAACAGGCCAUUGUCCUGGUAAGCCUUUUACUGGCUAUGUGAUCUUGAGGACCUUAUUUCACCUGAGCUUGUUUUUCAUUUGUUGAGUGGGGCUGUUAUUGAGGAGUCAGUAAGCGAAGUGAAUGACAGCACCUGGGGCACUGCUAGCACACUGGACCCAUUUCAUAGAUUGAUGUGCUGUAACAGCCCAGGAGGGUCUCACUCGGCCACCCUAGCAGAAAUGCAGUGCCACAAUCAUGGCUUAUAGCAGCCUCGACCUCCUGGGCUCAAGCAAUUCUCCCCCCUCAGCCUCCCAAGUACCUGAGACUACAGGUGUGUGCCACCAUGUUUUUUUUUUUUUUUUUUAAUUAUUUUUUGUAGAGAUGAGGGUCUCACUCUGUUACCCAGGCUGGUCUCCCCACUCCUGGCCUCAAGUAAUCCUUCCUCCCUCAGUCUCCCACAGUGCUGGGAUUACAGGUGGAAACCUGCACCUGGCCUCUUCCUAACUUUUCAUUGUGAACAUCCAAAAAACUACAAACGUUGAAAUCAUCUUAUUAUAUUGCUGACUCUGGAUUAAUCCGUAUCUUCUACCUCCAUAACACUAUUUCUGAUCUGGGAAAGGGCAGCUUUUCCCCCCGCCCUUCUUUUUUUUUUUUUUUUUUUUUUUGAGACGGAGUUUUGCUUGUCUCCCAGGCUGGAGUGCAAGGGCGUGAUCUCGGCUCACUGUAAUCUCCGCCUCCUGGGUUCAAGCUAUUCUCCUGCCUCAGCCUCCUGAGUAGCUGGGAUUACCAGUGCCCGCCACCACGCCCAGCUGUUUUUUUUAGUAGAGAUGGGGUUUCUCCAUGUUAGCCAAGCUGGUAUCGAACUCCUGAACUCAGGUCAUCUACCCGCCUCAGCCUCCCAAAGUGCUAGGAUUACAGGUGUGGGCCACCGUGCCCGGGGCCUAGUUUUGUAUUUUUAGCAGAGACGGGGUUUCACCAUGUUGGCCAGGCUCGUCUUGAUCCACCCAUCUUGGCUUCCCAAAGUGUUGCGAUUACAGGUGUUAGUCACCGUGCCCAGCCUCCUUCCUAUUUAAUGACUUCUGCCCCUACUUCCUGCUUUCAUCAUUGCAGUAAGAAUGCACUGGUCUAACACUUCAACCCGGCUGUCUUUAGCCAGAGGCAGAGCUUUGAAACCUGGGAAUUUACUGCUUGGAAAUGGGAUGGAAUUCUAAACAUUUCCCUUUUGAGGGUUUAUUCACAUGAAUCCUGGGCCCCUAGUCUUAGGGAGCUGGAAGGCCGUAUUUCUGGAACAGGUGUUCACUACUUCCGUUUAUCGGGUCUCAGCCAAGUAGACCUGGAGCUGCUCCCUAGCAGAAUGUGGUGCACUCUUCUGGGCGCCGCCUCCUCUCCUCCUCUUCCUAUCUCUCCUCCAACAUCCAGCUUCCAUGCUACCCUUUCCAGAAACAUUUCCAAUUCCCAUCAGCUAGGUUUUCUUUCAUGGAUUCCCUCUUGCAUUCCUUGCAUAGAUCACUUGGUGCUUUGUACUUUGUCAUGCUGUCUUCUAGACCUUAAGCUGGUUAGGUUGAGGGCAGGGCUGCAUGCUGUUCAUGUGUGCUCUGCCUGGCCUGGCACAGAUGUAGCUGCUCCAUGGAUAUCUGCGGGGUCACUGAGCUGAAGCAGGUGGAUGCUGGAUGCUUGAUACUAGAUACAUUUUCUGGGGCUGGCUCUGAUUAAUGCUGAGUGAGUUCACCUCACAUUAAGAUGCUGGUAAGGUGGCUCAUGCCUGUAAUCCCAGCAAUUUGGGAGGCCAAGGUGGAGGAUCACUUGAGUCCAGGAGUUCGAGACCAGACUGGGUAACAUAGCAAGACCCUGUCUCUAUAAAAAUUUUAAAAAGUCAGCCAGGCAUGAUGGUACACACCUUUGAGUCCCAGCUACUAGGGAGGCUGAGGUAAGAGGACUGCUUCAGCCCAUGAGUUUGAGGCUACAGUGAACUACAAUUGUGCCACUGCAUUCCAGCCUGGGUGACGAGACUGUCUUAAAAAAAAAAGAUGCUGGUUGUUUUCAGACUAAAAUAGUAGCAACAGGUCAACGUAUCUGAAAUCCUUUAGCAGUCAUAUAUGGUUAGUGUAAAUCUCUGUGAUAAAAGAAAGAUCUGGAAUUGAUACCAAAGCAGCUCAGUACUUUUUAGUGUACUAACACAUUUGUUUUAACAACUUGUUCACAGCUACUGCAAUGUUCAGAUGGAGGAUCAAUAAUCUCUCCAUUCUUUGAGCAUCUAGCAUAUUACUGGACUCAUGUGUAAUCUCUCUCAGCCUUCUAGGUUUUAUUUCCACACAUUUUCCUUCCCUUCAACCCGAUUCCAACUGACUUCUUUGUAUUCAGUUAGCAAACAGGAGUGUUCCCCUAGCUUCAUCUUCUCUGUUUUUAAAAGACGGAGUCUUUGGAGUGCAGUGGUGAGAUCCUGGCUAACUGCAACCUCCACCAGGAUCUGAUUCUCCUGCCUCAGCCUCCCAAGUAGCUGGGACGGCAGGUGCCCACCACCACGCCCUGCUGAUUUUUAGUAGAGAUGGGGGUUUCACCAUAUUGGCCAGGCUGGUCUUGAACUCCUGACCUCGUGAUCUGCCUGCCUUGGCCUCCCAAAAUGUUGGGAUUAUAGGCGUGAGCCACCAUGCCUGGCAAGUCUUGUUUUUUCCAAGAAGUUACUUGGGACUUAGGCAGAUAUGAUCCGUCUUCUUAGGUCCUCCUUCUCAUCCCUGUAAGAUGAAGGUGAUUGGAAGACCAUGAGGUCAUCCUUAAGGGGUCCUGUAUCAAGGUGUUAAGUAGGUUAUCACUUCCACCUUGACUGUUAGCUGGUACCUGCAGUACUUUUUCCCAGAACUUUGGAUAAAUUCACCAAGAUCUACUUGUGAAUACAUUAUACGUAGUAGAUUAAAGAGGCUAUAAGCUAAUGCUUUCACUUUUUCCUCUGAAUCCUAAGCAUUAGGCACUUAAAACGGGUGUACUCCAAGACAAAGAUGUGUUAUCAAGUGAAACAAAGUCAGGGUGUCUGUCUCACACAGUUUAUUUAACAAUAGGUAAUAAGAAAUCAAAUUUAACAGUCUAUACAGUGAUCCAAAG
rnacentral:lncRNA from 1 species